rnacentral:rRNA from 1 species
AGAGUUUGAUCCUGGCUCAGAAUGAACGUUGGCGGCGUGGAUUAGGCAUGCAAGUCGAGGGAGAACCCGCAAGGGGGACACCGGCGAACGGGGUAGGACAAUCUCGGUAACGUACCCUUCGGACGGGGAUAGCCACGGGAAACUGUGGGUAAUACCCGAUGAUCUGGCGAGCGUUUAGGGCUCGUCAGCAAAGGUGAGAUUCCACCGGAGGAGCGGCUGAGACGCUAUUAGCUUGUUGGUGAGGUAACGGCUCACCAAGGCGACGAUGGCUAGGGGGUGUGAGAGCACGGCCCCCACCACUGGCACUGAGACACUGGCCAGACACCUACGGGUGGCUGCAGUCGAGAAUCUUCGGCAAUGGGCGCAAGCCUGACCGAGCGACGCCGCGUGCGGGAUGAAGGUCUUCGGAUUGUAAACCGCUGUCGGAGGGGAUGAAGUGUAUGGGAGCUAUCUCCUGUAUUUGACAGAGCCUCGGAGGAAGCACGGGCUAAGUUCGUGCCAGCAGCCGCGGUAAUACGAACUGUGCAAACGUUAUUCGGAAUCACUGGGCUUAAAGGGUGCGUAGGCGGUUUGUUAAGUCAGGUGUGAAAUCCCCCGGCUCAACCGGGGAACAGCGCUUGAAACUGGCGAACUUGAGUGAGGUAAGGGUACGCGGAACUUCUGGUGGAGCGGUGAAAUGUGUAGAUAUCAGAAGGAACGCCGGUGGCGAAAGCGGCGUACUGGGCCUUGUCUGACGCUGAGGCACGAAAGCUAGGGAAGUGAACGGGAUUAGAUACCCCGGUAGUCC